rnacentral:tRNA from 1 species
GGCCUUGUAGCAUAAUUGGUUAAUGCACUGGACUGUCGAUCCAGCGAUUGCGAGUUCGAGUCUCGUCAAGGUCG